AGUUAACAUAACAUCCAAGAUGCAGCAUAUAAUAUCACCCAUGUGUUAAUAUAACUGUAUGUUAACAGAGCAUCAAAGACUGCUAAAUUAAAUGGUUCACAAUAUGAGAUCCCUAACAAACAAAUACCAAUAGAAAAGAAAAUGAUGCCCCAAAUUCAUGCAGCGGUCAUUCCCCAAAAGAAAAAACAAAGUAAAAUACUAGCCGACACAACUGCUGAUGUGAUAAUUACUCAACUCCUAACUAUCUCGAGGGAAUAUGAAAAUCUCCUGCAAGAUAUAGCCGUUUUUACAAUUUAAUUUCAAGAUUCUAACCCAAACCCAUCAAUAGGCCGUUGUCAAAGUUUAUGGAAUCUAUUAAGGAGAGAAUUUUAUAGAAAAUGCAGAGAGCUAAAGCCAAUAACUACUACAAGAGAAGGAAGCAAUUCCAGCCAAACAAUCCUAAUCCACAAAAAGGUAUGUAAAUAUAAACAAGACCUAUAAAACCACUUUGACCAACUGAAAAGGCAAGAAAAAGAGUGAGCAACAGAGAAAAAACAUUUCUAAAAGUUCUCUAUAUUUCAGAUUCGCUAACAACAAAAGGCAUAAAACAAACAACCACUGU
rnacentral:misc_RNA from 1 species